CACGUAGGGCGCAAGCGUUGUCCGGAAUUAUUGGGCGUAAAGAGCUCGUAGGCGGUCUGUCGCGUCGGCUGUGAAAACCCGAGGCUCAACCUCGGGCCUGCAGUCGAUACGGGCAAACUAGAGUACUGCAGGGGAGACUGGAAUUCCUGGUGUAGCGGUGAAAUGCGCAGAUAUCAGGAGGAACACCGGUGGCGAAGGCGGGUCUCUGGGCAGUAACUGACGCUGAGGAGCGAAAGCGUGGGGAGCGAACAGG
rnacentral:rRNA from 1 species